rnacentral:rRNA from 1 species
UACGUAGGCAGCAAGCGUUGUCCGGAAUUAUUGGGCGUAAAGAGCUCGUAGGCGGUCUGUCGCGUCGGAUGUGAAAGCCCGGGGCUUAACCCCGGGUCUGCAUUCGAUACGGGCAGACUAGAGUGUGGUAGGGGAGAUCGGAAUUCCUGGUGUAGCGGUGAAAUGCGCAGAUAUCAGGAGGAACACCGGUGGCGAAGGCGGAUCUCUGGGCCAUUACUGACGCUGAGGAGCGAAAGCGUGGGGAGCGAACAGG